UGCGUUAAAUGAUUGUUUUAAGUUAUUUCACUUCUAGGUGGAACUUAUAACGAGGACGAGCACAUCCAGGGGCGUCAAGGGGGUUACGACCCGGCGACAUACCAGUUCUAGUUGAUAGUUGAGGCGUUGGUGGCCUACGAGGACUGCUUCGGUGUUCUGACAGACUAAAUAAAU